AUUCUGGACAAGUGCCUUCUUCCCAGGUCUCUUGCACUGCUGCUGAGUUUCACGUAUGCUCUAUUCCCAGUAUCAAGAGGCAGAGGAGGUCUCAACAAGAACAGAGAGGAUACUUGAAGAUUCUGUAUGAUUGUCUGCAGACCCAUCAGCAACCCCAGGAUCUGUCCGUUAGACAGUUUCACCUUUUGUAUGCAUGUCUAUAGCAGUAGAGCAAAGCCUGGGAUCGAUCGCACAUAAGAGAUAUGAAUGUAUUGGAAUUUGCACUGGUUUAUGAAUGUGUAAUUAUUAUAUUGAUUGUUGAUGUCAAUGAUAUUUACUGUACUGUGUGACUGCCUACUGCCUGAAGUUUGCAUGCAGUAUUUGGUGCUUCCUGGCCAUACAGAAACCCACUUUGUACAAAAUGUAUGCUCAACUGAUUUAUGGUGUCUGCUUUUAAGGAAAAAUAACCUUAAACAGUUAGGGAAAAAAAAUUGUACCUUUACAAUUUGUUUA